rnacentral:misc_RNA from 1 species
AUAGCAACGUUUGACAACUGUGAAAAUAACUCAGGUGCUGCUAUGAAUCCUUGAAUUCUGGAAAACGCAAGAAGAAGUUCGUGUUUUUCUAUUUUAUAAGAAGACAAAAAGAAAAAAAAAAUGGAGGAUCGACCACUGGCCAGAAUUGGCCCCACAGGAGGAGGAGAUGUGAGAGCAGCAUGCAAAAAGUGUGGUUAUCCUGGCCACCUUACCUACCAGUGCAGGAAUUUUGUGAAGGUGGAUCCAAAGAAAGAUGUGGUCCUGGAUGUCUCAUCUACAUCAUCUGAAUUCAGUGAUGAUGAGACACCUCUUACGCAACUUAAUGCACAGGAACUGCUUGCAAAGAUGAAGGAAGAGAAACACCUCAGGAAAGAGAGAAAGAAGCACAAGAAGGAAAAGAAGAAGAAGAAGAAGUUGCGUACAGAUAGCCCCAGCCAAUCAAGGUCAGGGGAAAGGGAUAGGAAGAAAAAAAAGAGGAAGAGCAAGCAUUCCUCGUCAGAAAGUUCCUCUUCAGAGAGUUCCUCGGACAGUGACUCAGAGGAGGAUGAAACACGAAAAGAUAAGAAGAAAAAGAAGAAGGAAAAGAAAAGGAAAAAGGAGAAAAAGAAAAGGGACAAUGAGAGGGACUGAAAAAUUGGAUACAGCUCACUCAUGUGACGUAUGUAUGAGUCCUUCUAUAUAAUGACACAUCUUCAACUUCCCUUAUAGCUUGUGUGCAGGGGUGUUGAGUCUCCAGAGUUAUGAUGAUAUUGAAACAAAGCUGUACCUGAAUCAAGACCCUUAAAAGAAUGCAGAGAUUAUUUAAGAUUCUUCCCUUCAGCUCAGGAUAGUAUAGAUUUUUUUAAUUCCUCUUUCUUUGCUUAAAUUGUCUCAAUGAUAUUAUCAUUGAUAUUACUAUUGAUAUCAUUGUCAUCAUUAUCACUAUUUAUUUUUUUAUGGACCAGUAAUAUCACCGCAUUCCUUCUUUGUUUAUUAUGUUAAAUACAAGCUACAUAAACAGGAAACAUGAAAGAGAAAAACUUGCCAAGAAUGAUCAAGUGAAGGCAUAUUAAUUAGGGUUCCCUGAGUACCUGCCUGACCAUGUUGUCCUUAUCUUUGUAAUGCUAAGAAUAAAUACAUGAAUAUCA